CACGGGGGGAGCAAGCGUUGUUCGGAAUCACUGGGCGUAAAGGGUGUCUAGGCGGUCAGGUAAGUGAGAUGUGAAAUGCCCCGGCUUACCCGGGGACCGGCAUCUCAUACUGUCUGGCUUGAGUAUGGGAGAGGAUGAGGGAAUUCCUGGUGUAGCGGUGAAAUGCGUAGAUAUCAGGAGGAACAGCCGGUGGCGAAAGCGACUCAUCGUGGCCCAACUACUGACGCUGAGACGCGAAAGCGUGGGGAGCGAACAGG
rnacentral:rRNA from 1 species